AGAAGAAGAAGAAGAAGAAGAAGAAGUGGUUACUGGUCUGUCAGGUGAUGGAGGAGAGCAGCAGGCUUACAGCUCUGACCAAUCACACGCUCUUCUGCAGGCCCAGGUGAUGACAUCAUCUUCGAGGACAUCCAAUUAGAUGAUGCUAUGUGACAAGAUUUGACUCUCCUGUUUAAUGCACAUGUUUUUAUGUCCUCAUUAUUAUUAUUAUUGUAUUGAAUAUAGAGAGGGAAUAAAAUCAGGUCAGUGAGCUUGA